GAUGAACGCUGGCGGCGUGCUUAACACAUGCAAGUCGAACGGAAAGGCUCCUGCUUGCAGGGGUACUCGAGUGGCGAACGGGUGAGUAACACGUGGGUGAUCUGCCCUGCACUUCGGGAUAAGCCUGGGAAACUGGGUCUAAUACCGGAUAGGACGAUGGUUUGGAUGCCAUUGUGGAAAGUUUUUCGGUGUGGGAUGAGCUCGCGGCCUAUCAGCUUGUUGGUGGGGUAAUGGCCUACCAAGGCGUCGACGGGUAGCCGGCCUGAGAGGGUGUACGGCCACAUUGGGACUGAGAUACGGCCCAGACUCCUACGGGAGGCAGCAGUGGGGAAUAUUGCACGAUGGGAGCAAGCCUGAUGCAGCGACGCCGCGUGGGGGAUGACGGCCUUCGGGUUGUAAACUCCUUUCGCUAGGGACGAAGCGCAAGUGACGGUACCUGGAGAAGAAGCACCGGCUAACUACGUG
rnacentral:rRNA from 1 species